GCAGAGAUGGCUCAGUGGUUAAGAGCACUGGCCAUUCUUCCAGAGCACCUGGGUUCAAUUCCCAACACCCGCA
rnacentral:tRNA from 1 species